rnacentral:rRNA from 1 species
UGUGUAGAGUCUCGGUUAUAGUCAAUUUAAUUUAUUUAAUUUAAUGAUAGUUUAGGUGGAAGUAAUUGUCAUAAAGUGAUAGUUUAGGCAAUAUUUGUUUUUAGAUAACAUUGGGUGGAGGAGAAUUGAUAUUCGACGUGGAACUGGACUUUAUAAAAUAUUAAUAUUUAGAACUCUUAAUAUUGAGAUUUUUCUAAGAGACUAUUGCCUCUAUAUGUUUGUUUAUUUAAUUCAUCUCAUUUAGCACAUAAUAGUUAGUACCCCAUCCAAGGAGACUUACCUUACUCUAUGGCGGUUUAAGAAACCCAAAUUUCUGGAAUUGAUUAUCAUGGGACCAUUUAUAUUAAUUGUAAAUUU